UGGGAGACUGAGGUUCCACCCAUGCCAUUUGUUGGAGGCUCCGUCUUGGAGGAUUCACCGUGACUUUCUGGGUGAAGGCUCACAAAAGCAGGAGUGGCCAAGACGAUUUCAGGCAGUGUAGCCUCUGCACACCUGGUGGUAAUAAAAUCUCUAGCCUGGAACAAUGAAACUCUCCAUUCGUGAGAACACCCUUGGGAGACAAAAGGAAGCAUCUUGAAAGCAGGAGCUCUUUUCACAAACAGCUCUUACUGGGAAGAAAGAGACUGACAAAUAGAGGUUUAUGUGUGCCCUGGCUCAUGACGUAAAUAAUUUAUGAUGAAAAGCAAGAGUUUGGGAUUCAAACUAUAACUGCUCGGUUUAAGUAAAUAAUAUUCAGAAAGUAAUUUCUUUUGGCUUAUCUCAGAACUGGAUUCCUGACAAGUAUGUUACAUUUUAAAAUAGAGAAUACAGAUGGUUUCCAUAUAAGUUGCAGAUAUUAUGACUAUAAUCCAGAGAACCAUUACAAAAGGGCCAAGUGGAGGGGAGGCUAAAUAUCGACUUUGAUUUUGGGAGCUCAGGUGUGUGCUGACUGGUGACAAUCAGCAUUACACCUAGGGUCUGUUCCAUGUGAACUCUACAGUUUACAGCUUUACAUCAGGGAAUGAUUCACAGGUGAAGGAAAGAGGAGUUUCACUUUGAGGAACAAUCUGACAGGAACUCUUCUUAAAGCAAAAAUAUUCAAGUGCAUCAUAUAGCAACAUAGCUGCCAUUGAUUCAUUACCCAAGAACACACAUAUUUCAGGGAAUGAGGACCACGGGUGUGCACUGACCAAAGAGAAGUAUCUGGCAAACACUGGCAUUCCUUUCUUCUUAACCAAGUCUAGGAUCGAGGACAUCUACAUACUAAAAAGGCAAAGUGAAGCAAACAAUACCCAUGUGGAGAAGCAGGUUCCAUGCAGGGAGCCCGACGUGGGACUCGAUCCCGGGUCUCCAGGAUCACGCCCUGGGCUGAAGGUGGUGCUAAACCGCUGAGCCACCCGGGCAGCCCUAAAUGGCUCCAAUUUUAGAACUGGAAUGUACCUUAGAGGUUUCCUAGUUCAACCUAUCCUUGAACCCUAACUCAUUACGGAGAUGACAGGAUAACCCCAUAGUGUAAUAAACUUGGCCGCCAACACGGGAGGUUAAAUAUAUUCAGAAGGUUUUGUUUCAUUGCUGGGGCAUCACGGUGAUUGCCAUCUUGGGUCUUUGAAUUAUUAAAUGAUAUCACACUUCUCACAUAGAUAAAUUCCAAAUUCACCUUUCUUCUUGCUGAUUUUAGAGAUUUAGGUGGAUUUUUAUUUAAAAUAACUUGAUAUUUUCCUUGGACAAUAUCUGGGACUUGACUUCACUUCGUUUUACCUGAAAUGCUUUCAAUCAUAUAAAGUAGCUGGACUUUUUCUCUGCUAGUUUGAAAAUACUCUGCUCAAAAUGUUAAGCCCUCUCUCUUCCCCCUACUUUCUAAAGUAGCACUUCCCUCCUGAGGGGAACACCCAUCCUUGAAAUCACCCACGAAUUACUCUAAUUAUUGUACAUAAAAUGUUUACUGUUGGUAGUUACUACUAUCUGAGGUCUGUCAAACUUCUGAGUGGUUUUGAUUAGAUGAAGUACCAUUGGGUCUUCAAAAUUUCAGGGCAGAAAAUAAAAUCUAGUAGUGGUCCAUUCAAAGACAAAUUAUAUAGCAUUUGGAAGGACAUAAAGGAAGAAAAUCACUUGGAAGACUUUUGCGACCAUGGUUUUUAUAGAUGGUAGCUUUUUGGUGGCUCUCUCAGAGUUAACCCCCUUAGCCAGAGAGAGGCCAAUGACCAUGUGAUUUAAAUCUGGAGGCAAUCCCUUUGAUAAACCCCAACUUCUAAAGGAACUGCUUGGAAUAGUUCCAAAUUAAUCUCACUGUCCACAGGCUUUUGCACAUUCUUAAAGAAAUUACUUCAAAAAAAAAAAAAAAAAGAAAUUACUUCAGACUACAUUUUAAAAAAAUGAUUACUGUUCUACUAGUGUUUCUCUUUCUUCCUCAGGCAAGCAAAGGUCAGCCUCCUACUUAGAAUUCAUAUUAGCUCCAGAAAUAUAAGUGAUUACAUUUCUCACUAGAAUUUGAUGCCUUUCUUAUUAAAAAAAAAAAAAAUCUUGUUGGAAUCAGCAUUUUCAGAUUUGUCUGGAUAUUUGCCUCCAACUGCCUUACCAUGGGCAGAAAUAGGACUUUUGUUUUUCAAAAUGGAAAGUUUGCCCUAAAUAAAUAAAAAAUGAUGUCAGGUCUUGCUCCAGUCCAUUAUCUGUGGGGCUAAUUUUACUCUUCUCAGACACUUCCCUCUGUGCCAACCCAAAAGAGAUAGGAAAUAUUUUCCAUCCUGUUUCUCCCAUGUAGAACCCUGCUCACUGGUUAUUCACUGGCCUGAUGUUCCCCUAGGUCUCUCCAACACCUUCCCUUGGCCAAAUACUCACUCCAUCCUGCCUAGUGCAACACUCCUUAUUCUUCUAUGCAUGGUAAUGUAAAGUAGCUUUCUAAUGAUUAGAAUAUCCCGAGACUGGAAUAUACUGCUUUGUAUGAUAGCAGCCUUUAUAUUAUUGGAGGUGUUUGGAGAAAGCUCAAUAAGAUGCCACAGAGAUUUCUACCUGUGUAUGUUUUUGGGCUGUUUGA